rnacentral:tRNA from 1 species
UGGGGCGUCGCCAAGCGGUAAGGCAGCAGGUUUUGAUCCUGCCAAUCGGUGGUUCGAAUCCAUCCGCCCCAGCCA